GACGAACGCUGGCGGCGUGCCUAAUACAUGCAAGUAGAACGCUGAAGGAGGAGCUUGCUUCUCUGGAUGAGUUGCGAACGGGUGAGUAACGCGUAGGUAACCUGCCUGGUAGCGGGGGAUAACUAUUGGAAACGAUAGCUAAUACCGCAUAAGAGUAGAUGUUGCAUGACAUUUGCUUAAAAGGUGCAAUUGCAUCACUACCAGAUGGACCUGCGUUGUAUUAGCUAGUUGGUGGGGUAACGGCUCACCAAGGCGACGAUACAUAGCCGACCUGAGAGGGUGAUCGGCCACACUGGGACUGAGACACGGCCCAGACUCCUACGGGAGGCAGCAGUAGGGAAUCUUCGGCAAUGGACGGAAGUCUGACCGAGCAACGCCGCGUGAGUGAAGAAGGUGUUCGGAUCGUAAAGCUCUGUUGUAAGAGAAGAACGAGUGUGAGAGUGGAAAGUUCACACUGGGACGGUAUCUUACCAGAAAGGGACGGCUAACUACGU
rnacentral:rRNA from 1 species